GGUCUCAUAGUCCAACGGCUAAGACGAUUCGUUUACACCGAAUAAACCGAGGUUCGAUUCCUCGUGGGACCA
rnacentral:tRNA from 1 species